rnacentral:rRNA from 1 species
UAGGGAAUCUUCGGCAAUGGACGGAAGUCUGACCGAGCAACGCCGCGUGAGUGAAGAAGGUUUUCGGAUCGUAAAGCUCUGUUGUAAGAGAAGAACGAGUGUGAGAGUGGAAAGUUCACACUGUGACGGUAUCUUACCAGAAAGGGACGGCUAACUACGUGCCAGCAGCCGCGGUAAUACGUAGGUCCCGAGCGUUGUCCGGAUUUAUUGGGCGUAAAGCGAGCGCAGGCGGUUAGAUAAGUCUGAAGUUAAAGGCUGUGGCUUAACCAUAGUACGCUUUGGAAACUGUUUAACUUGAGUGCAAGAGGGGAGAGUGGAAUUCCAUGUGUAGCGGUGAAAUGCGUAGAUAUAUGGAGGAACACCGGUGGCGAAAGCGGCUCUCUGGCUUGUAACUGACGCUGAGGCUCGAAAGCGUGGGGAGCAAACAGGAUUAGAUACCCUGGUAGUCCACGCCGUAAACGAUGAGUGCUAGGUGUUAGGCCCUUUCCGGGGCUUAGUGCCGCAGCUAACGCAUUAAGCACUCCGCCUGGGGAGUACGACCGCAAGGUUG